UUCAGAGUUAACAGCCUCCAGGGAGAGCUGGUGGCACCAGGGCAUUUCCCCACCUCUGGGGCUGCUCUGCCCCAUCGCUCAUGCUCCGUCCUCCCCCCACAGGCACCCCCCGGAGAGGAGAGCCCCGCCGCUGCCCCCCGAGGAGCUCCCAUGGCCAAGGGGGCCACGGGGCCACCUUGUCACCGCUGAGGACCCACCAGCCGUAGCCAAGCCCUCCCUGGGGCUCCCCGAGCCACCGCGGGCACCCCUGUCCCGCCGCAGCAGUGGGGUGGGCACCUCUGCCACCCAGCCCCGACCCCACAAGGACCACCGCAUCGUGUCACCGGAGACCGACAGUGGCUUCGUGGGCUCGGAGGCCAGCAGGGUGUCACCCCCCGUGCACACCCCCGAGCACCGCCCCCCCGGCACCGGGACCCCCGGCUCACUGGGACCCUCCAUCCCCGUCCCCACGACCCUCCGUCCUCUGCAGAAGAGAGAUGUGACCCCACUUCCCUCCAAGCCGGCGCCGAUGGGCAUCUUCCCGGCAGGCGGGGGGCAGGGGGGCACGGGGGGGCUCCGCCUGCCCCCCAGCACCCCCUCGCAGAGCAGUUCGCCCCCCCGCUGGGCUGGGAGCGGGGGCAGCGAGGUGGGACCCGACGGGGACGGCAGUAAGUUUCGGGGAGGGAGGUGUCCCUGGGGAGAGAGAUUUUGGGGGUGGAGGGGGUGUCUGGGGGUGGAAGGGGCUCUGGUUUGUGGUGUCCCCCCCAUUCCUCUGGGGAUGCUGGACUGGGGGUGCCUCCCUCCUGCUGGCUCUGCUCUCCCCGGUCUCUCCUGGGGUGGGGGACACCCCCCAGCUCAUUGUGCCCCCCCCACACCCCUCUUUCUCCCCAGCUCACAUGGACUCGGAGGUGGAAGGCAG
rnacentral:lncRNA from 1 species